UCAUCUUCCUAGUUCAGCCGCUGCAGCCACCAGAUGUAACACUCAUUUUGUUACUCACAUUCAACCACUUCAUCUUUCUUGUUCGGCUGAGUGACUGAAGAUGCUUUUUAUGGAAAGCUAGAAAUGAGAUGAUUUUUGAGGGUCGCUUCAUCCCGGUAGGCAAUAUAGUCGAGCAGGUGAAGGAAGAUGCUUUUUUAUGGAUCUGUAAUCGAUCUAAAAGGCCUAAUCCUAGCUGGGAAGAUUGGAGGGCGUUUGAUAUUUCAGUUAUGUUGUAAUCUGGUGUCGUGAUUUGCUUCGGCUCUGCGUCUUUUUGCUGUUUUUUCUUUCCGUUUUCUUUUCCUGUUGUUUGUUUCUCAGCCUCUGGCUGGCUCUUUAUAUAUAUAUAUAUAAAGUGUGUUUGCUGUUAAAAAAAAAAAAAAAUAUUAUAUAAAAAGUGGCUUCAAUUAUGACAUCCACUCCGGAUUCCAAAAACAUCACAAAGUGGCUUCAAUUAUUUUUUUGUGUUAUUCUAUGA
rnacentral:lncRNA from 1 species